GACCCUGACAGCUCUAGAAGUGUUUUUCCCCUGGGUAGAUAAAGUUUGUUGCCAAGGGAAUGCUACACGCCACCUCUGUGGCUGCCCGACAACCAUUGAAUUGGGCUCUUCCAGACAAAGGACACCGGGCGGGGAUGGUGAAGCAGACAACAAUGCAUGACAAUGGUGCCCCAGUUUUCCAUGCCGGACUACUAUCCCUGAGUGUGUGUGCGGUGAUGGCCUGUUCAACCUGUAAACAUUGAUUUCCUCAAC
ensembl:lncRNA